rnacentral:rRNA from 1 species
AGAGCGAACGCUGGCGGCAGGCCUAAUACAUGCAAGUCGAACGCACCUUCGGGUGAGUGGCGGACGGGUGAGUAACACGUGGGAACGUGCCUUUUGGUUCGGAAUAAUCCGGGGAAACCUGGCCUAAUACCGGAUGUGCCCUUCGGGGGAAAGAUUUAUCGCCAUUAGAGCGGCCCGCGUCUGAUUAGCUAGUUGGUGAGGUAACGGCCCACCAAGGCGACGAUCAGUAGCUGGUCUGAGAGGAUGAUCAGCCACACUGGGACUGAGACACGGCCCAGACUCCUACGGGAGGCAGCAGUAGGGAAUCUUGCGCAAUGGGCGAAAGCCUGACGCAGCCAUGCCGCGUGAAUGAUGAAGGUCUUAGGAUUGUAAAAUUCUUUCAGCGGGGAAGAUAAUGACUGUACCCGCAGAAGAAGCUCCGGCUAACUUCGCGCCAGCAGCCGC